GAUGAACGCUGGCGGCGUGCCUAAUACAUGCAAGUCGAGCGAACAGACGAGGAUCUUGCUCCUCUGACGUUAGCGGCGGACGGGUGAGUAACACGUGGAUAACCUACCUAUAAGACUGGGAUAACUUCGGGAAACCGGAGCUAAUACCGGAUAAUAUAGUGAACCGCAUGGUUCUGUAGUGAAAGACGGUUUUGCUGUCAAUUCUAGAUGGAUCCGCGCCGCAUUAGCUAGUUGGUAAGGUAACGGCUUACCAAGGCGACGAUGCGUAGCCGACCUGAGAGGGUGAUCGGCCACACUGGAACUGAGACACGGUCCAGACUCCUACGGGAGGCAGCAGUAGGGACUCUUCCGCAAUGGGCGAAAGCCUGACGGAGCAAUGGCGCGUGAGUGAUGCAGGUCUUCGGAUCGUAAAACUCUGUUAUUAGGGAAGACCAAAUGUGUAAGUAACUAUGCACGUCUUGACGGUACCUAAUCAGAAAGCCACGGCUAACUACGUG
rnacentral:rRNA from 1 species